rnacentral:rRNA from 1 species
UCAAUGGAGAGUUUGAUCCUGGCUCAGGAUGAACGCUGGCGGUAUGCUUAACACAUGCAAGUCGAACGAAUUAAUGGGCAACUAUUAGUUAGUGGCGGACGGGUGAGUAACGCGUAAGAAUCUACCUUUUGGAGAGGGAUAACAUCGGGAAACUGAUGCUAAUACCUCAUAAUACUGAGGAGUUAAAACAGUUAACGCUGGCCAAAAGAGGAGCUUGCGUCUGAUUAGCUAGUUGGUGGGGGUAAAAGCUUCCCAAGGCCACGAUCAGUAGCUGGUUUGAGAGGAUGAUCAGCCACACUGGGACUGAGACACGGCCCAGACUCCUACGGGAGGCAGCAGUGAGGAAUUUUCCGCAAUGGGCGAAAGCUUGACGGAGCAAUACCGCGUGGGUGAAGAAGGCCUGUGGGUCGUAAAACCCUUUUCUCAGAGAAGAACAAAUGACGGUAUCUGAGGAAUAAGCCCCGGCUAAAUUUUGGUCGCUCGUAAUGUGAAUUACGAGGCAAAUUUUGCUCAUAUCGGUGGAACCUAAACGCAGAUGCGGCAAAACAGUUUGACUGUUAUUCACUUUAUGUGAAAAUCCGGCGUAGGCAAUCCCGAGGGAAGUUUUCUUAUCAAGGAAAAAAACAUGCAUGACUUCUAAACUGAACCUUGAUAGAAAACCCCGUAACGACUGAGGAAAAGUUAAUUUUGAUUAACUUAGUACGAGAUAAGAACAAAACCUAACGUCUAACUGUCAAAGGUUAGGCGUCAGACUUUCUUAUAACACGCAGAACCUCUUUAAUAUUCUUGGACUUUUUUUACAAGAAUAUGGUCAAUAAAGAAGAAGGUAUAGUCUAUGCUCUUAGAAAUAGGAGGUUUUAAUAUUCAUGAACCCUGUGCCAGCAGCCGCGGUAAUACAGGGGGGGCAAGCGUUAUCCGGAAUGAUUGGGCGUAAAGCGUCUGUAGGUGGUUUAAAAAGUCUACUGUCAAAUACCAAGGCUUAACCUUGGACAGGCAGUAGAGUACUUUUAGACUUGAGUGCGGUAGAGGUAGAGGGAAUCCCUAGCGUAACAGUGAAAUGUGUAGAUUUUAGGGAGAACACCAGCGGCGAAGGCGCUCUACUGGGCCGAGACUGACACUGAGAGACGAAAGCUAAGGGAGAGAAUAGGAUUAGAUACCCUAGUAUUCUUAGCUGUAAACGAUGGAAACUAAGUGCUGCCGAAUGCAGUGCUGCAGCUAACGCGUUAAGUUUCCCGCCUGGGGAGUAUGCCCGCAAGGGUGAAACUCAAAGGAAUUGACGGGGGCCCGCACAAGCAGUGGAUUAUGUGGUUUAAUUCGAUGCAACGCGAAGAACCUUACCAAGGUUUGACAUACUCAGAAUUCUCCAGAAAUGGAUUAGUGCCAGCAAUGGAACUGAGAUACAGGUGGUGCAUGGCUGUCGUCAGCUCGUGCGUUGACGUGUAUGGUUAAGUCCUGCAACGAGCGCAACCCUCGUCUUUAGUUAAUAUCUCUAAAGAGACUGCCAGCGUAAGCUGGAGGAAGGUGAGGAUGACGUCAAGUCAGCAUGCCCCUUACAUCUUGGGCUACACACGUAAUACAAUGGUUGGGACAAUCAGAAGCGAUCCUGCGAAGGCUAGCGAAUCUGUUAAACUCAACCUCAGUUCGGAUUGCAGGCUGCAACUCGCCUGCAUGAAGUCGGAAUUGCUAGUAAUCGCCAAUCAGCUAUGUGGCGGUGAAUACGUUCCCGGGCCUUGUACACACCGCCCGUCACAUGCAUAAAUUAUGCGGAAGUCUAAGUCAUUAGUUUAACCUUUUGGAGAACGGUGCCUAAACUUUAGCCUGAGAUAAGUAUGAAGUCGUAACAAGGUAGGGCUACUGGAAGGUGGCCCUGGAUCACCUCCUUC